rnacentral:rRNA from 1 species
GUCCGCGGGAAUUCGAUUCAGGCCUAACACAUGCAAGUCGAGCGGUAGAGAGAAGCUUGCUUCUCUUGAGAGCGGCGGACGGGUGAGUAAUGCCUAGGAAUCUGCCUGGUAGUGGGGGAUAACGUUCGGAAACGGACGGUAAUACCGCAUACGUCCUACGGGAGAAAGCAGGGGACCUUCGGGCCUUGCGCUAUCAGAUGAGCAUAGGUCGGAUUAGCUAGUUGGUGAGGUAAUGGCUCACCAAGGCGCCGAUCCGUAACUGGUAUGAGAGGAUGAUCAGUCACACUGGAACUGAGACACGGUCCAGACUCCUCCGGGAGGCAGCAGUGGGGAAUAUUGGACAAUGGGCGAAAGCCUGAUCCACACAAGGCGUGUGUGUGAAGAAGGUCUUCGGA